GAUGAAGAACGUAGCGAAAUGCGAUAAGUAAUGUGAAUUGCAGAAUUUAGUGAAUCAUCGAAUCUUUGAACGCAUAUUGCGACCACCAGCACUCUGGCGGGCAUGCCUGUUCGAGCGUCAUUUCAACCCUCAGGCCUCGCGUCUGGCGUUGGGGCGCUGCGGCCCUCCCGCAGGCCCCCAAAUUUAGCGGCGGAUUCCCCGCGGCCCUGAGCGCAGUAGAGAGUAAAAACUUUAACGCUCCGGCGGCCGUGGCGCUGUUCUGCCUCUUUCCCAAUAGCGCCAAUAGCGCCACCCCCAAAAAAGUUGACCUCGGAUCAGGUAGGACUACCCGCUGAACUUAAGCAUAUCAAUAAGCGGAGGA
rnacentral:misc_RNA from 1 species